rnacentral:lncRNA from 1 species
UGUGAGGAGUGCCUCUGCCCGGCCGCGACCCCAUCUGGGAGAUCUCAACUGUUGAGAGGAAACCAUACUGUCUGUCAUUAGCAAUUUUGCAAAAACAGCCUGUGAAUGCAUAUUAGCAUCACCUGAUUACUGAGCGCCCAGAGGCUCCGUCUCUCUGUACCCGGAUACAACACAGGAGGGAAAUGAUGUGGUUCCUGUCCUCAGAAACUCCUGGUCAAAGAAGGUUCCUGUGUCAGGAAGAAAAAACGCCAUUAGUAGAAUUUCUGAGCUGGAAAUGAGCAGGCUAGAGGUGGAGAGGAGCUGCAGCUACAGUCUGCACUAGAACCACCCCGUUGCCCCAUCUGGUUUCCAUGGAGUCAGACUUCUGAUGAGGAAGCUGGUCCUCCGGAAUGUGCAGAACGCAAGACACCCAGGCAAAGUGUCUUUAAGGGUAGGGACUGUUCAUUAUGGCUAUGGGAUGACCACAGAUUUCUUUCGUGUUAUCUGUUAGAAUGCUUUUGAUUGCUAGUAGCUGAAAGCUGUGACUUAAUUUGGCUUUACAAAUAAGGAAAU